AUUGAACGCUGGCGGCAGGCCUAACACAUGCCAGUCGAACGGUAACAGGAAACAGCUUGCUGUUUCGCUGACGAGUGGCGGACGGGUGAGUAAUGUCUGGGAAACUGCCUGAUGGAGGGGGAUAACUACUGGAAACGGUAGCUAAUACCGCAUAACGUCGCAAGACCAAAGAGGGGGACCUUCGGGCCUCUUGCCAUCGGAUGUGCCCAGAUGGGAUUAGCUAGUAGGUGGGGUAACGGCUCACCUAGGCGACGAUCCCUAGCUGGUCUGAGAGGAUGACCAGCCACCCUGGAACUGAGACACGGUCCAGACUCCUACGGGAGGCAGCAGUGGGGAAUAUUGCACAAUGGGCGCAAGCCUGAUGCAGCCAUGCCGCGUGUAUGAAGAAGGCCUUCGGGUUGUAAAGUACUUUCAGCGGGGAGGAAGGGAGUAAAGUUAAUACCUUUACUCAUUGACGUUACCCGCAGAAGAAGCACCGGCUAACUCCGUG
rnacentral:rRNA from 1 species